rnacentral:rRNA from 1 species
UACGGAGGAUGCGAGCGUUAUCCGGAUUUAUUGGGUUUAAAGGGUGCGUAGGCGGGAUGCCAAGUCAGCGGUAAAAAUGCGGUGCUCAACGCCGUCGAGCCGUUGAAACUGGCGUUCUUGAGUGGGCGAGAAGUAUGCGGAAUGCGUGGCGUAGCGGUGAAAUGCAUAGAUAUCACGCAGAACUCCGAUUGCGAAGGCAGCAUACCGGCGCCCUACUGACGCUGAGGCACGAAAGCGUGGGUAUCGAACAGG